CGAUUUUUAAUGCUUGGCCAGCUGAGUCCUUUUCUGGGUUUUGGUAUUAAGUUGUCGGGGCUGAGUUUGUUUUCAUCUCUGCUGAGUACUUAGUUCUGAGUAAUCUGUUUUCACCGAGUCUGGGUGUUGUUUUUCUUUUAUAUUAGUUCGUUUGUCUUGUGUUUGUGGUUUCCCGAUUAUUGUUUCCUGUAGCUGCGACUAUUCUUCAGGGUUUUAAUUUGCUUUGCUUUGCCAACUUUAUACUGAAAUUGUUAUGACUAGUAGUUUGUUAUCGAGUAGUUUAGUUGUUGAAAUUUUGGUACGAUAUUUGUUUUUGGCUUUUGUUGAUUAAUUUUGUAAAAUUAGUCUUGUUAAUUAAGUUUGGUAAUUUAUUAAGGUUAAUUAGAUUAAAAUUUAAAUUGAACUUAUGUUAAUGAAAAUUAGUUUUUAAAAUACACCCUCUCCACUAAAAUUAAGUUUCUAAUUCGCCUAGAUUUAAAGUAAAGGGUUUGCGAAAAAUAAUUUUAAUCUCUGUGGAUCGAAUCAUAAAUAUUAAAACGGUGAUCGUGCGCUUGCGAUAAAAGGUAAUAUUUCUAGCACAUCAAGUUUUUGGCGCCGCUGCCGGGGAUUAAAAUUAAUUUUUCGCUCCUUUAUUUUUAAUCUUUCGGAUUAGUUUGUUUUCUCACUAUUUUUUGUUCUUUAUUUCGAGGAGGAAUAGUCGGGAUUCAUGGAGUAAAGUGAACAAAUUUUGCUCGGAUUUGGAAGCUUGCUUUGGUAUCUCGUAUCUCUCCACUCUUACUUUUCGUUUUUAUUUAGAAAAUCACAAACAAAUCUGAAAAUUGAAAAAACACAAACAAAAUAAAAAAUUUAAAAUCCAAAAAUAUUAGUUAGAACUACAUAUGUGUUGCAUCAUGCAUUUUUACACUUAGGGCACAUCAUUUAGAUUUUAAUUUUUGUUUUUAAAUUUUCGUACCUUAAAUUGUGGUGAUCGCUGGAGGACCCUAAGGUGCGUUAAUUUCUUCCUUUCUUUAGAGUAAAUCACGUAGUGUAGAAGCAUCCAUAUUUGUUUAUAGCUUUUAUUAUCUCGUUGUGUGGUGCAUCAUUUUAAAUAAAUCUUAAGGGCAAAACCCACUCACAAGAUAAGGGGAGGGAUUUCAUCACUCUUUCCUU
rnacentral:lncRNA from 1 species